AUCUAGAACUGCUUCUGUUUUCUGCCCUUUUGGGUUUGUGGCUCAUGAAGGGCUGUUAUAACCUUGCUCUUAUUCAAGAGACUUGGCAUUAUAAGAUCAAAUAUGAGGGUUUAACUGUAAGGAGGGCAAGUUAUUUGCUUAUAUUUCUGAAAGUGUCCUCUGAUAUCUUUUCCAAAGAUAACAUAAAUGUUUCACCCAUGUGGGGUAUCUGUACUAGAGAUCUAAUAACUUUACAGGUGAAACAUUGAGAAAAUUAUAUUAGCAGAGAACUUAUUGUUUCCUCUGCUUGUUAUGAUAAAGAUAAAUUUCCACUGGCC
rnacentral:lncRNA from 1 species